CUAGAUGAUUUUAGUGCUUGCACUAAAUGAAACUAGAUACAAGCGAGCGGCGGACGGGUGAGUAACACGUGGGUAACCUGCCCAAGAGACUGGGAUAACACCUGGAAACAGAUGCUAAUACCGGAUAACAACACUAGACGCAUGUCUAGAGUUUGAAAGAUGGUUCUGCUAUCACUCUUGGAUGGACCUGCGGUGCAUUAGCUAGUUGGUAAGGUAACGGCUUACCAAGGCAAUGAUGCAUAGCCGAGUUGAGAGACUGAUCGGCCACAUUGGGACUGAGACACGGCCCAAACUCCUACGGGAGGCAGCAGUAGGGAAUCUUCCACAAUGGACGAAAGUCUGAUGGAGCAACGCCGCGUGAGUGAAGAAGGGUUUCGGCUCGUAAAGCUCUGUUGGUAGUGAAGAAAGAUAGAGGUAGUAACUGGCCUUUAUUUGACGGUAAUUACUUAGAAAGUCACGGCUAACUACGUGCCAGCAGCCGCGGUAAUACGUAGGUGGCAAGCGUUGUCCGGAUUUAUUGGGCGUAAAGCGAGUGCAGGCGGUUCAAUAAGUCUGAUGUGAAAGCCUUCGGCUCAACCGGAGAAUUGCAUCAGAAACUGUUGAACUUGAGUGCAGAAGAGGAG
rnacentral:rRNA from 1 species